GGAAGUAAAAGUCGAACAAGGUCUCCGUAGGUGAACCUGCGGAGGGAUCAUUACAAGUGACCCCGGUCUUACCACCGGGAUGUUCAUAACCCUUUGUUGUCCGACUCUGUUGCCUCCGGGGCGACCCUGCCUUCGGGCGGGGGCUCCGGGUGGACACUUCAAACUCUUGCGUAACUUUGCAGUCUGAGUAAACUUAACUAAUAAAUUAAAACUUUUAACAACGGAUCUCUUGGUUCUG
rnacentral:misc_RNA from 1 species